rnacentral:rRNA from 1 species
UACGAAGGGGGCUAGCGUUGCUCGGAAUCACUGGGCGUAAAGGGUGCGUAGGCGGGUCUUUUAAGUCAGGGGUGAAAUCCUGGAGCUCAACUCCAGAACUGCCUUUGAUACUGAGGAUCUUGAGUUCGGGAGAGGUGAGUGGAACUGCGAAUGUAGAGGUGAAAUUCGUAGAUAUUCGCAAGAACACCAGUGGCGAAGGCGGCUCACUGGCCCGAUACUGACGCUGAGGCACGAAAGCGUGGGGAGCAAACAGG